rnacentral:rRNA from 1 species
UACAGGGGUGCAAACGUUGCUCGGAAUUAUUGGGCGUAAAGCGCGCGUAGGCGGUCACCUAAGUCGAAUGUGAAGCCCUCGGCUCAACCGGGGAAGUGCAUCCGAAACUGGGCGACUGGAGUACCAAAGAGGGUCGCGGAAUUCCCGGUGUAGAGGUGAAAUUCGUAGAUAUCGGGAGGAACACCGGCGGCGAAGGCGGCGACCUGGUUGGAUACUGAGCGGCCUGAGGCGCGGAAAGCGUGGGAGCAACAGGG